UACAGAGGGGGGCAAGCGUUAUUCGGAAUUAUUGGGCGUAAAGGGCGCGUAGGCGGCUUGGCAAGUGGAAGGUGAAAUCCCUCGGCUCAACUGAGGAACUGCCCUCCAAACUGCUUUGCUUGAGGCCGGGAGAGGUAAGUGGAAUUCCCAGUGUAGCGGUGAAAUGCGUAGAUAUUGGGAGGAACACCAGUGGCGAAGGCGGCUUACUGGACCGGUUCUGACGCUGAGGCGCGAAAGCGUGGGGAGCAAACGGG
rnacentral:rRNA from 1 species